rnacentral:rRNA from 1 species
UACGUAGGGUGCAAGCGUUGUCCGGAAUUAUUGGGCGUAAAGAGCUCGUAGGCGGUCUGUUGCGUCGGCUGUGAAAACCCGGGGCUCAACCCCGGGCCUGCAGCCGAUACGGGCAGACUAGAGUUCGGCAGGGGAGACUGGAAUUCCUGGUGUAGCGGUGAAAUGCGCAGAUAUCAGGAGGAACGCCGGUGGCGAAGGCGGGUCUCUGGGCCGAUACUGACGCUGAGGAGCGAAAGCGUGGGGAGCGAACAGG